GGGUUGUGAGGUUAAGCGACUAAGCGUACACGGUGGAUGCCCUGGCAGUCAGAGGCGAUGAAGGGCGUGCUAAUCUGCGAUAAGCGCCGGUAAGGUGAUAUGAACCGUUAUAACCGGCGAUACCCGAAUGGGGAAACCCAGUGUGAUUCGUCACACUAUCAUUAACUGAAUCCAUAGGUUAAUGAGGCGAACCGGGGGAACUGAAACAUCUAAGUACCCCGAGGAAAAGAAAUCAACCGAGAUUCCCCCAGUAGCGGCGAGCGAACGGGGAGGAGCCCAGAGCCUGAAUCAGCAUGUGUGUUAGUGGAAGCGUCUGGAAAGGCGCGCGAUACAGGGUGACAGCCCCGUACACAAAAGCGCAUGUGCUGUGAGCUCGAUGAGUAGGGCGGGACACGUGGUAUCCUGUCUGAAUAUGGGGGGACCAUCCUCCAAGGCUAAAUACUCCUGACUGACCGAUAGUGAACCAGUACCGUGAGGGAAAGGCGAAAAGAACCCCGGCGAGGGGAGUGAAAAAGAACCUGAAACCGUGUACGUACAAGCAGUGGGAGCCCCACCACUAAGCCAGUGGUGAACUCCACAUACGCAUCCUUUGCUGAGGAUACGGUUAACGGAGCGAAAGCGACGUUCAACCUCAAAAGAAGCAGAGGGGGCUUAGUGGUGGGGUGACUGCGUACCUUUUGUAUAAUGGGUCAGCGACUUAUAUUCUGUAGCAAGGUUAACCGUAUAGGGGAGCCGUAGGGAAACCGAGUCUUAACCGGGCGUUAAGUUGCAGGGUAUAGACCCGAAACCCGGUGAUCUAGCCAUGGGCAGGUUGAAGGUUGGGUAACACUAACUGGAGGACCGAACCGACUAAUGUUGAAAAAUUAGCGGAUGACCUGUGGCUGGGGGUGAAAGGCCAAUCAAACCGGGAGAUAGCUGGUUCUCCCCGAAAGCUAUUUAGGUAGCGCCUCGUGAAUUCAUCUCCGGGGGUAGAGCACUGUUUCGGCUAGGGGGCCAUCCCGGCUUACCAACCCGAUGCAAACUGCGAAUACCGGAGAAUGUUAUCACGGGAGACACACGGCGGGUGCUAACGUCCGUCGUGAAGAGGGAAACAACCCAGACCGCCAGCUAAGGUCCCAAAGUCAUGGUUAAGUGGGAAACGAUGUGGGAAGGCCCAGACAGCCAGGAUGUUGGCUUAGAAGCAGCCAUCAUUUAAAGAAAGCGUAAUAGCUCACUGGUCGAGUCGGCCUGCGCGGAAGAUGUAACGGGGCUAAACCAUGCACCGAAGCUGCGGCAGCGACGCUGAUGCGUUGUUGGGUAGGGGAGCGUUCUGUAAGCCUGUGAAGGUGGCCUGUGAGGGUUGCUGGAGGUAUCAGAAGUGCGAAUGCUGACAUAAGUAACGAUAAAGCGGGUGAAAAGCCCGCUCGCCGGAAGACCAAGGGUUCCUGUCCAACGUUAAUCGGGGCAGGGUGAGUCGACCCCUAAGGCGAGGCCGAAAGGCGUAGUCGAUGGGAAACGGGUUAAUAUUCCCGUACUUGGUGUUACUGCGAAGGGGGGACGGAGAAGGCUAUGUUGGCCGGGCGACGGUUGUCCCGGUUUAAGCGUGUAGGUGUGUGUUCCAGGUAAAUCCGGUUCACUUUAACACUGAGGCGUGACGACGAGGCACUACGGUGCUGAAGCAACAAAUGCCCUGCUUCCAGGAAAAGCCUCUAAGCAUCAGGUAACAUCAAAUC
rnacentral:rRNA from 1 species